rnacentral:rRNA from 1 species
AAAGACUUGACGGUGCNUCACAACAACCUAGAGGAGUCUGUCUAAUAACCGAUACUCCACGUUUAACCCCACCCACCCUAGCCUAACAGUCUAUAUACCGCCGUCGCCAGCCUACCUUGUGAAGGAAAUAAAGUAGGUAUAACAAGAACCCCCUAACACGACAGGUCGAGGUGUAACUAAUGAGUGGGCAAGAGAUGGACUACAUUUUCUAACACAGAACAUACGAAUAAACUAUGAAACUAGAAACUGAAGGCGGAUUUAGCAGUACGAUGGGAAUAAAAUACCCACCCGAAACCAAUGCAAUGAAGUGCGUACACACCGCCCGUCAUCCCUG